AUGGAUUGUACUCUUAAAACUGUCUUCUGGAAUGUCUGCGGGUUAAAUUGCCGGGCCAAACGUACCGCGGUCUGCUCCGUCAUUGCGUCGGUCUCUCCCAACAUAGUGUGCCUCCAAGAAACAAAGUUGGAUUCUUCCUCGUUGUCGACUGUCAUCGAGACCCUUGGUCCCUAUUUUGAUGAUUUCUUCUUUCUCCCUGCGAUUGACACACGCGGUGGCAUUCUCCUAGCUUGGAAUCGCAACUAA
rnacentral:rRNA from 1 species